GCUGGGUGUGUGACACACACCUGUACUCCCAGGAGCUCAGGAGGCUGAGAUAGGAGGAUGGUGAGUUUGAGGCCUGUGUCAGCAACUUAUGAGACCCUGUCUCAA
rnacentral:sRNA from 1 species